AUUGAACGCUGGCGGCAGGCCUAACACAUGCAAGUCGAGCGAGCGGCGGACGGGUGAGUAAUGUCUGGGAAACUGCCUGAUGGAGGGGGAUAACUACUGGAAACGGUAGAUAAUACCGCAUACCAUCGGAUGUGCCCAGAUGGGAUUAGCUUGUAGGUGAGGUAACGGCUAACCUAGGCGACGAUCCCUAGCUGGUCUGAGAGGAUGACCAGCCACACUGGGACUGAGACACGGGCCAGACUCCUACGGGAUGCAGCAGUGGGGAAUAUUGCACAAUGGGCGCAAGCCUGAUGCAGCCAUGCCGCGUGUAUGAAGAAGGCCUUAGGGUUGUAAAGUACUUUCAGCGGGGAGGCGUUACCCGCAGAAGAAGCACCGGCUAACUCCGUGCCAGCAGCCGCGGUAAUAC
rnacentral:rRNA from 1 species